UCUGCAGCAUUGACAGUGUCCAGCUCCACACAGAACACACCUGGGGAAGAGCAGUCACCAGUGGAUCUUGGCUUUGCCAUUGAGCAAAUGAUCUGGGAGAUCCCUGCCUGAAAGGUCUCCCUCUGCACAGGGCAAUAUUAAUGUUGUGCCUGAGUCUUCUGGAGGCGAGCCUGUGAACCAGGCUGCAGCAGAGGAAGCCUCAUCUGGCACUGAGAAGAACAGUUUGCCAGAGCCUGAGGAGCUUGAUCCUGUGUGAUCGACCUCUGCAGGAGGGCUGCCCUGUGUGGCAGGAAGAGACAGAGGGAGAGGCUGUGACCAUCGGGCAGGUAGAAUUCCUCUGUCUCUAGUUAUAUUUAUAGAUGCGCAUAGUUAUGUUUAUUUAUCUAGGUAGUCGUAUUUAUAGAUUUAUGUAAUUAUAUUUAUCUAUAUAGGUAGAGAUCUGUACAGUUAAUUUUUUUUUUGUUUUAGAUGUAUAUCGUUAUAGCUUUAGAUGUGUUGGUGUAGUUAUAGAUGUGCACAGUUGCACUUAUACCUGUGUAUAGUUACAUUUAUAUAUAUACAUUUGUAAAUGCAUAUUUAUAUUUGUAUAUGGGGGUUUAGCUAAAUAGAUUGAUAUCUG